AACGAACGCUGGCGGCAUGCCUAACACAUGCGAGUCGAACGAGACCUUCGGGUCUAGUGGCGCACGGGUGCGUAACGCGUGGGAACCUGCCCUUAGGUUCGGAAUAACUCCCCGAAAGGGGUGCUAAUACCGGAUAAUGUCUUCGGACCAAAGAUUUAUCGCCUUUGGAUGGGCCCGCGUUAGAUUAGCUAGUUGGUAGGGUAAAAGCCUACCAAGGCGACGAUCCAUAGCUGGUCUGAGAGGAUGAUCAGCCACACUGGGACUGAGACACGGCCCAGACUCCUACGGGAGGCAGCAGUGGGGAAUAUUGGACAAUGGGCGAAAGCCUGAUCCAGCAAUGCCGCGUGAGUGAUGAAGGCCUUAGGGUUGUAAAGCUCUUUUACCCGGGAUGAUAAUGACAGUACCGGGAGAAUAAGCUCCGGCUAACUCCGUG
rnacentral:rRNA from 1 species